GCAACACAUCAUGCAAACAGUGGGCAGCAAAAUGCCAUCUUCCCCAACACCAUUGCAGUACCUCAGCCUAAUGUUGGUGCCAUGCCUUCUUAUCUUGCAAGAAGCACGGGCGGCGCACCAUGGAGGGGUCUCAAUGAGGUCUCAAAGCAUGGCCCUUCUCCACUGGAAAGCCACAAUAGCAAGCCCACCGUUCCAGAUGAGCUCUUGGAAGGAACACACAAGCCCCUGCAACUGGACAGGCAUCAUGUGCACGGCUGUUCACCACGGCCGCCGCAUGCCCUGGGUGGUGACCAACAUCUCCUUGCCGGAUGCCGGCAUCCAUGGCCAGCUUGGUGAGCUCAACUUCUCGGCCCUUCCAUUCCUCACAUAUAUUGACCUAAGUAACAACAGUCUCCACGGUGCACUACCCGUUAGUAUCAGCUCCCUCUCAGCACUUUCGGUUCUUACCUUUCGCGACAACCAGCUCACAGGGAAAAUUCCUUACGAGUUUGGUGGCUUGCAAAGUCUCAAGCUGCUUGUUCUCUCAUUUAACAGACUCACAGGACGUAUCCCUGCGUCUCUGGGCAACCUAACAAUGUUAACUGAUCUUGCCAUUCACCAAAACAUGGUAUCAGGUCCCAUUCCUGAGGAGAUUGGAAGACUUGUCAACCUACAAAUUCUUCAGCUAAGCAACAACACCUUAAGCGGCAUGAUACCAAAAACCCUUGGAAAUCUGACCCAGCUAAUUGGUUUGUACAUGUUUGGUAAUCAACUUUCAGGGCCUAUACCCCAAGAACUAGGAAGGCUAGUCCAUUUACAAAUUCUUCAACUUCAUUCAAAUGAUAUUUCAGGUCCAAUUCCAAUUUCCAUAACCAAUCUCACUAAGAUGAACCAACUUUUUCUCUUUGAAAAUAAAAUCGCAGGUCCAAUACCCCCAGAACUUGGCAACCUCAGUAUGCUACAACAACUUGCUCUCUACACAAAUCAAACAACAGGUUCAGUACCCCCAGAACUAGGGAACCUCACAAUGCUCAAUGUACUUGUCCUCUAUACUAAUCAAAUCACAGGCCCAAUACCUUUAGAAUUGAGCAUCUUGAUGAAUCUACAGUUUUUAGACUUGUCCAGCAACCAAAUAUCUGGCUCUAUUCCUAACAGCCUAGGAAAUAUAACCAACCUAGAAGUACUAUCCCUCUUUGAAAAUCAGGUAACAGGACCAAUACCUAAAGAAUUGGGCAUCUUGCUGAAUCUCCAAGAGUUAGACUUGUCCGAAAACCAAAUAUCUGGAUCUAUUCCUGGCAGCCUGGGAAAUAUAACCAAGCUAGUAGCACUAUCCCUCUAUGUAAAUCAGAUAACCGGUUCCAUUCCCCAAGAGAUUGGCAAUAUGAUGAACCUUGAAAGUUUAGGCUUGUUUCAGAACCAAAUUUCGGGAUUAAUACCAAGAACUUUUGGGAAGUUGCAAAGCAUCCAAAAAAUGCAAAUCUUCGAUAACAAAUUAUCAGGUUCUCUUCCUCGGGAAUUUGGAUAUCUCAUCAGCCUUAUUGAACUUGGGUUGGGUAUCAACUCCCUUUCAGGACCUUUACCUGCAAAUAUAUGUUCAGGUGGUAGACUUCAAUACCUCAGUGUAUCUUCUAAUAUGUUCGAUGGCCCCAUUCCAAGAAGUUUAAAGACAUGUACAAGUUUGGUUCGACUUCGCCUUGAGUCGAACCAACUAACAGAAGAUAUAUCACAAGAUUUUGGUGUGUAUCCACAACUCAUACAAAUGCGAUUAGCAUCAAAUAGACUCUUUGGGCAGAUCUCAACAAAUCUAGGUGCAUGUACGCAACUAAAAGAACUAAAUCUAGCACAAAAUAUGAUCACGGGUUCCAUACCACCAAUCCUUUCUAAACUAUCCAAUCUAGUAGAACUAAAACUCGAUUCUAAUCAUCUCAUCGGUGAGAUUCCACCAGAAAUCUGCAGUUUAGCGAAUCUAUAUAAACUCAACGUAUCGUCGAACCAAUUAUCUGGAUCCAUACCUACACAGAUAGAAAAGCUAAGAAAUCUAGGAUACCUUGAUAUAUCUAGGAAUAGACUGAGCGGAUCAAUACCUGAGGAACUGGGGGCCUGCAUGAAACUACAUUCCUUGAAGAUUAACAACAACAAAUUCAAUGGGAGUUUGCCUGGUGUGAUUGGAAAUUUAGCAGGCCUGCAGAUUAAGUUAGAUGUGAGCAACAAUAAUCUUGGUGGUGCACUGCCGCAGCAACUUGGGAAUUUGGAGAUGCUAGAAUUUCUGAAUCUAUCACAUAAUCAGUUCAGUGGCAGCAUUCCGUCCUCCUUUGCAAGCAUGGUGAGCCUUUCAACACUUGAUGUGUCCUACAAUGACUUGGAUGGACCAGUUCCAACAACACGGCUACUCCAAAAUGCUUCAGCAAGUUGGUUUCUUCACAAUAAAGGUUUGUGUGGCAACAUCUCUGGCCUCCAACUUUGCGAUUCAACUCCAGUUGCAGCCGAUCACCACAAACGGAAGAUACUUGGUUUGCUUUUGCCAAUUGUUCUUGUGGUGGGUUUUGGCAUUUUUUCUGCAAUUGUUGUCAUAAUAAUGCUGAGUCGUAACAAGAGAAAACCACAAGAAGUUGUUACUGCUGAAGGAAGGGACCUAUUCUCUGUUUGGAAUUUCGAUGGAAGAUUAGCAUUUGACGAUAUUGUAAGGGCAACAGAAGACUUUGAUGAUAACUACAUCACUGGAGCGGGAGGAUACGGAAAUGUCUACAAGGCACAACUCCAAGACGGGCAGCUAGUUGCUGUGAAGAAGCUGCAUCAGACAGAAGAAGAGUUGGACGAUGAAAGAAGGUUUCGCAGUGAAAUGGAAAUCUUAUUACAGAUCCGCCAAUGAAGCAUUGUCAAAAUGUAUGGAUUCCACUCCCAUUCAGCGUAUAAAUUUCUUGUCUACGACUACAUUCAUCAGGGAAGCCUCCACCAGAUGUUGGAAAAUGAGGAGACAUCAAGGGAAUUGGAUUGGCAAAAGAGAAUUGUCGUUGUAAAUGAUGUGGCUCAAGCAAUAUCUUAUUUGCACCACGAAUGCAGUCCACCUAUAAUCCAUCGAGAUAUAACGAGCAACAACAUCUUACUUGAUGCAACCUUCAAGGCUUUCGUCUCAGAUUUCGGCACAACAAGGAUUCUUAAGCCUGAUUCAUCAAACUGGAGUGCACUAGCGGGGACGUAUGGGUACAUAGCUCCUGAACUCUCGUACACAUCUGUUGUCACGGAGAAAUGUGAUGUCUAUAGCUUUGGUGUGGUUGUUCUUGAGCUACUUAUGGGGAAGCAUCCAGGGGAUCUAUUAGACGGUAGUUUGUCCAAUGGGAACAAGCUAUGCUGGUGAAAGAUAUUCUGGACCAGCGACCGACAACACCACCAACAACAAAAGAGAAUAGCUUAGCUCUGCUCAUCAAGCUGGCCUUCUCUUGCUUGGAAUCUUCUCCACAAGCAAGGCCAACCAUGAGGCAGGCAUACCAGACACUCAUCCAGCAACCCUCUUCUAGUUCCUCUUCCGUGCCUUUCAGUGCACUAACACUACAGCAAGGAAUGCAUGUUGACAUGUGAUCCGAAUUCUGGCGAGGAGCCAGGGACUAUCGUAGCGGAGGCCAAUUUAGGUUCCCACUUUAGACUCGAGUCACUCAUAUGCCACACAUAUAUACCUCCUGUAUGCCACACGGGAUGAGUUGAUGACUCAUUCUAAGUCUAUGUAUGUGUAGAAAUUCUCCUGAUAUAGCGAAAGAUAACUGUUUUUUGCCUGUGGUUUUUCCUACAAGGAUUUUCCACUAGAAAUUGGUUUCCUGUGUUCUUCUUCUUCAUAAUUAUUUCUCCAUUUGUUCGUUUGCAA